rnacentral:rRNA from 1 species
GUGCCAGCAGCCGCGGUAAUACGUAGGGUGCAAGCGUUGUCCGGAAUUAUUGGGCGUAAAGAGCUCGUAGGCGGCUUGUCGCGUCUGCCGUGAAAACCCCAGGCUCAACCUGGGGCGUGCGGUGGGUACGGGCAGGCUAGAGUGCGGUAGGGGAGAUUGGAAUUCCUGGUGUAGCGGUGGAAUGCGCAGAUAUCAGGAGGAACACCGAUGGCGAAGGCAGAUCUCUGGGCCGCUACUGACGCUGAGGAGCGAAAGCAUGGGGAGCGAACAGGAUUAGAUACCCUGGUAGUCCAUGCCGUAAACGUUGGGAACUAGAUGUAGGGCCUGUUCCACGGGUUCUGUGUCGUAGCUAACGCAUUAAGUUCCCCGCCUGGGGAGUACGGCCGCAAGGCUAAAACUCAAAGGAAUUGACGG